rnacentral:lncRNA from 1 species
AGAAAUAAGAAAAUUUUAAAAAAGUUGGGAGCCAUAACUCAACCAAUACAUCCUUUUGAAAAAGAAAAAAAGCUAUAUUGUGGGUCCAACCUUUGAAUUCACCACAUCCAACUUGGCGAUGAUUAAAUAAAUAGUAAAAAUGAAAAAGCACAAAACAAUUAAAUGUAAAAUCUUAUAAAUUUUACAUUUUAGCGAUCAAUGUGCAAUAAUGGAAUCCAGCUGCAAGUGCCAAACAUUCGUUCGUUCAUUUACAUUUAUUCCAUUCCUUGAUUCAGGAGGGGAAAAAAUUGACACAGAAGAAGUAAUAAUAAUGAUAAUAGUAAUAAGUCAAAAAAUAUAAAUAUAUAUAUCAGGUGGGGGGGGGGGGGGGUUCACACGUUUUAAUAGUGUAUUUAAAAAGAAAAAGAAUUCAAAAAUUUUAAAUUAAAGUUGAUUUGUGAAAUGGACCUGUCAGGUAAAAAGGAAAUAGUACGACUGUGCAGAGGAACAGUCUUUUGUAUAUGCGCACUUACACACACGCAUGAGUAUAAAACGACAGCGUGAUUGCUGCAUCCUAACAAAAAGAGAAGUAGCGAUAAAGGUGAAAACCGAAAACAUUAUUUGAAUUAAUAAGAAAUAAGCUUUAUUUGGAAUUAUUUAUUUUGUAAAAAAAGAAAAAAAAAAGGAUUAAAAUUAAAUGUCGGUCAAUUGGUAACUCCGCACGCGCGGUCUUCUAUUUGUUGUCGUCUUCUUACGGUUUUGGCUUCAGUGCUGCGCCUCUGAGACGGCCACGUCACCCCACCAUUUUAUCUUUCAUUUCGCGACGAGUUAUACGUUUCGCGAUAUUUUGAGAUCAACGCCAUCGCUGUCCAUGACCAUUCACCGCGUCAACGGUUCGUAUUACGCGCAAUUCUUUCAGCACCGAACGCCGGAGGAAGAAACGAAAGUACAACUCAGCUUGAAUUUUGUACGUGCCAAAUUUUUUAUGAGUGAGUGUAAACUACGUUUUGCCGCGUGGUCAUUUGCAUUGCAUUGCUUUGCAUAAUUUUUUGAACGCGAUUGAUUUACGCUGUUAAAAAUUUAAAAUUUUACCGAGACCAACGUAAAU